GAAAUGCGAUACGUAGUGUGAAUUGCAGAAUUCCGUGAACCAUCGAAUCUUUGAACGCAUAUUGCGCUCGAGGCUCCGGCCGAGAGCAUGUCUGCCUCAGCGUCGGUUUAACCCCUCACCCCUCCCAUCUAGUAUGGGUUGGUUGGCUUCUCUAGUCGACCUUUGGGGUGGAGCUGGCUUCCCCAAUUAGUUUGACUGAUUGGGUUGGCUGAAGCAUAGAGGCUUAAGCAAGGACCCGAAAUGGGCUUCAACUGGAUAGGUAGCACCGGCCUCGGCCGACUACACGAAGUUGUGGCUUGUGGACCUCGCUAGGAGCCAAGCAGGAAAUGCACAGGUGCAUCUCUAACUUCGACCUGAGCUCAGGCAAGGCUACCCGCUGAACUUAA
rnacentral:misc_RNA from 1 species